ACUCCUACGGGAGGCAGCAGUGGGGAUAUUGCGCAAUGGGCGAAAGCCUGACGCAGCGACGCCGCGUGGGUGAUGAAGGCCUUCGGGUCGUAAAGCCCUGUCGAGGGGGACGAAACAGUUCCGGCCCAAUACGCCGGAGCCCUGACGGUACCCCUAAAGGAAGCACCGGCUAACUCCGUGCCAGCAGCCGCGGUAAGACGGAGGGUGCAAGCGUUGUUCGGAAUUACUGGGCGUAAAGCGCGUGUAGGCGGCUGGCUAAGUCUGAUGUGAAAGCCCGGGGCUCACCCC
rnacentral:rRNA from 1 species